UUUGCUAGUGGGGCACCACCCACUACCACCUCGGGUAGUGGUGGUCCACGGCGGCGGCCACCACCUUACGGUGAUGGCUUUGAGUUUCUUUUUAUUAUUCAUUUUGCUAAUUACAAUUACAGAGCUUUUAAUCCAAAAAUAACCAUACACACACUAACUAUUCUAACACACACCCAGAAAUACGCCUCUUGCUCGGGAAUGCACACGAUCACCCACUUCACGGUGGCGUACGGUGGUUCGAUAGCAACAGCAGUGGCACAGCGGCGGUGGCCACCAUUUCCAAUGGUGGUGAUGGUGGUGGUUCCUGUCCAAAAAUCACACAUACUUCUUCAUAAUUAAUAAUAAACACACACAACCACCUCCUAUGGUGGAUGGUAGCGGAAAUGGGCGAUAGAACACGGUGGCAGCCACCACCUUGUGGUGGUGGCGAUGGGUUUCUAGUCAAAUAACUUCCAUAGCUACACAUUCAACUCGUGGCAGCAGCCUCAUACACAAAAACAACACGAUACCAAGCUCCUAACCACCGACUAAGAGGUUGUGGUCGUCGGAAUGAGCAGAAACGGCGAUUCAAGGGCUGCCGAUACCCACAGCCGGCAAGCACGACGUAAAAAACAUGAAAAGGACGAAGGGAAAGGGAAGGAGAAGCGACAGAUGGCCUUACCGGGAGUUUCUCGGAAAUUCGCGACCUAUGCAGCGAAAAAACAACGCUUCGGACUCCAAUGGAGGUUCCCCGGCGAUUCACGUGACCUUUCAGCUUGCUCCCGACGUCCAGCGAUCGUGUGGUGUUCCGAUGAUAAGUUAACGGUGGCGCUUUGAUGGGGAAGAUAGGGUGACGGCUGAGAGGGUUAUCCAUGGCGGCUAAAGAAGGUCUCUA
rnacentral:lncRNA from 1 species